GUACACGCUGUGACUAGCAUAUCAAUAAGCGGAGGAAAAGAAACUAACAAGGAUUCCCUAGUAACGGCGAGUGAAGCGGGAAGAGCUCAAAUUUGAAAUCUUGAAAGGGUUACCUUCCACGAAUUGUAGUUUAAAGAAGUGUUUUCUGCUGAAGUUUUGGUAAAAGUUCUUUGGAAUAGGACAUCAUAGAGGGUGAGAAUCCCGUAUUGACCGUUAUUUCUAGCUUUGUGAUACACUUUCAAAGAGUCGGACUGUUUGGGAAUGCAGUCCAAAAUGGGUGGUAAAUUUCAUCUAAAGCUAAAUAUUGGCGAGAGACCGAUAGCGAACAAGUACCGUGAGGGAAAGAUGAAAAGAACUUUGAAAAGAGAGUUAAACAGUACGUGAAAUUGUCAAAAGGGAAGCGUUUGACACCAGUGUUGUUUUCUCGAAAAUCAAUUAAAAAUGGCUCGAUUUUGUAUUGCUGAGACCUUAAAAGCUCACUGUACAUUUUUCGUGUCUUUUUUAAUGCACUUUUCGUUUAACAAGUCAACAUCAGUUUCUUUUGUUGUAAAAGGGUCAUUGGAAGGUGGCUUUCUUUUCGGAGAAAGUGUUUAUAGCCUUUGGCCUCUGCAAUCGGAGAGACUGAGGUCUGCAGCGUAGACUCUUCGGGGUUAGAUACAUUUGUGCUAAGUUAUAGCUCUUUAUAGACAACUUGUUGACUAUAAUUAGUCUUGUAGCUUACUCGCUUAUGCUAUUUUACCUACGCUUAGGAUGUUGAGCGCAUGUCUCUCUCU
rnacentral:rRNA from 1 species